rnacentral:rRNA from 1 species
CCAGACUCCUACGGGAGGCAGCAGUGGGGAAUAUUGGGCAAUGGGCGCAAGCCUGACCCAGCAACGCCGCGUGAAGGAAGAAGGCUUUCGGGUUGUAAACUUCUUUUCUCAGGGACGAAGCAAGUGACGGUACCUGAGGAAUAAGCCACGGCUAACUACGUGCCAGCAGCCGCGGUAAUACGUAGGUGGCAAGCGUUAUCCGGAUUUACUGGGUGUAAAGGGCGUGUAGGCGGGAAAGCAAGUCAGAUGUGAAAUCCGGGGGCUCAACCCCCGAACUGCAUUUGAAACUGUUUCCCUUGAGUGUCGGAGAGGUAAUCGGAAUUCCUUGUGUAGCGGUGAAAUGCGUAGAUAUAAGGAAGAACACCAGUGGCGAAGGCGGAUUACUGGACGAUAACUGACGGUGAGGCGCGAAAGCGUGGGGAGCAAACAGGAUUAGAUACCCGGGUA